rnacentral:lncRNA from 1 species
GCUUUAGUAGGAAGUAAAUUACCAAAAGUGUUGUUGUCCAGUAAGACUAUAUCUGAGGAAAAUAAAGUUAUCUUACCCAAAUUCAUUUCUCAUAAUGUCCACCUCUGCCUUCAUAAUUCUUAUUUUCUGAUAAAUCUCUUCUAUAUGGGUGCAUCCAGUAUUAAAAGAAAACCAUUCAGAAUCGACUUGCACAAAUGUGCAGUUACUUAAUAGAGACCAGCAGUACUGACCCAUCGGAUAGCUUGGAAGCAUACAAAUAUAACGACUGAAACUAUGGAUGGCAAAUCAAGAUCGAGGCAGAA